UACGAAGGAUGCAAGCGUUAUCCGGAUUUAUUGGGUUUAAAGGGUGCGUAGGCGGACUUAUAAGUCAGUGGUGAAAUCUCGUUGCUUAACAACGAACGUGCCAUUGAUACUGUAGGUCUUGAGUACAGAUGCCGUUGGCGGAAUGUGUCAUGUAGCGGUGAAGUGCAUAGAUAUGACACAGAACACCGAUUGCGAAGGCAGCUGACGAAACUGUAACUGACGCUGAGGCACGAAAGCGUGGGGAUCAAACAGG
rnacentral:rRNA from 1 species